AGCAGCCGCGGUAAUUCCAGCUCCAAUAGCGUAUAUUAAAGUUGUUGCAGUUAAAAAGACUCGUAGUUGAAUUUCGGGAUUGACACAUCGGUCGUGCCUUAAGGGGUAUGAACUGGUGUAGUCAAUUUCUCACCUUCUGGAGAACCGCGAUGCCCUUAAUUGGGUGUCGCGGGGAACCAGGACCUUUACUUUGAAAAAAUUAGAGUGUUUAAAGCAGGCAUUUUGCUUGAAUACAUUAGCAUGGAAUAAUAAAAUAGGACGGCAUGAUUCUAUUUUGUUGGUUUCUAGGAUCACCGUAAUGAUUAAUAGGGAUAGUUGGGGGCAUUAGUAUUCAAUUGUCAGAGGUGAAAUUCUUGGAUUUAUUGAAGACUAACUACUGCGAAAGCAUUUGCCAAGGAUGUUUUCAUUAAUCAAGAACGAAAGUUAGGGGAAUCGAAGACGAUCAGAUACCGUCGUAGUCUUAACCAUAAACUAUGCCGACUAGGAAUCAGACGAUGUAAUUUUUUAAUGACUCGUUUGG
rnacentral:sRNA from 1 species